rnacentral:rRNA from 1 species
GUAGUUAGCCGGGGCUUCCUCCUUGGCUACCGUCACUUUCUUCGUCACCAAGGACAGAGGUUUACAAUCCGAAGACCUUCUUCCCUCACGCGGCGUUGCUGGGUCAGGCUUUCGCCCAUUGCCCAAUAUUCCCCACUGCUGCCUCCCGUAGGAGUCUGGACCGUGUCUCAGUUCCAGUGUGGCCGAUCAGCCUCUCAGCUCGGCUACCCAUCGUUGGCUAGGUGGGCCGUUACCCCGCUACUACCUAAUGGGACGCGAACCCCUCCUUCUGCGGAUUGCUCCUUUGACCCCUGAGCCAUGCGACUCUGUGGUCUUAUGCGGUAUUAGCGCCAGUUUCCCAGCGUUAUCCCCCACCCAAGACACGUUCCUACGCGUUACUCACCCGUUCGCCACUCGAGCACCCCACAAAAGCAGGGCCUUUCCGUUCGACUUGCAUGUGUUAAGCACGCCGCCAGCGUUCGUCCUGAGCCACGGAUCAAACUCUGA